AACGUAGGAGACAAACGUUAUCCGGAGUUACUGGGCGUAAAGGGCGUGUCGGCGGUUUGUUAAGUCUGGCGUGAAAGCUCUCGGCUAAACCGGGAGAGGUCGUUGGAUACUGGCGAACUAGAGGAUGGUAGAGGCGUGUGGAAUUCCGGGUGUAGUGGUGAAAUGCGUAGAGAUCCGGAGGAACACCAGUGGCGAAGGCGACACGCUGGGCCAUACCUGACGCUAAAGCGCGACAGCAUGGGGAGCAAACGGG
rnacentral:rRNA from 1 species